GAAAUACAAUCCUGACAAUCACUAGCUACUCUUUACAGAGGUUGAGGAAAAUCGGUACAUUGCUAUUGUUUGUCAGUGUUGUGGCAGCUAAUGACACACUUCUAGGUUUCAGAAUCAUAACAGCCAUGUACACUCAAGCUUCCCACAGCGAUCAGCUUGUAAGAGUCUACUGCUGCUACAAUGAGUUUUUAUCAAGAAAAACCAAUGGACAUGGAAGCGUCAUCGAUGACACGACACGUAACUACUUUCAGCCUCAUUUCAGCGUCAUCGAUGACACGACACAUAACUACUUUCAGCCUCAUUUCAGCGUCAUCGAUGACAUGACACAUAACUACUUUCAGCCUCUAAAGAACUGACAGCAGCUAAGGAUAAUUUCUAAUGCCACAAGCUCAGGAUGGAUUUGACAAAGGAACUGCUCUGGAGAAAUAUAAUUUUUAAAGUACUGACCUUAUACUAAAAAGAAAAUAUUUGAGAAGCAAGUGGAAGAGAAUAAAAUAUUAGGGUUUGGCACUUCUGUAAGUGAGCCUAUGUGUGUGGGAAAAGUGAAGGGAUUAAAUAUAAGACCUGAAUUCCCCAUAUUUCAACUUGGAGUUGUUUAAAUUUUUUCAAACAUGUUUUUACAUUUAAAACAAAAACACCAUAAUAAUUAGAGAUAAUUAGAGAUAGUUUUUCAGUUUGCAUGACCCUGCCCAACAAGAGUCGGUCUUCACAAUCAAUUUGACCAGCAAAGUGCUCUACACCAUUUCCAAAUGCUUUUCUGUGGGCCAGUGCCAGCCUCAGUUGAGAAAUGCUAGACCAGGAGGACCAAAUUUAUUCCCCUUCUUCAAUUCCGAGCAAAAAGCAGAGUAACAGCAUGAGAACUUGGCACAGGCAGAUAAUGAUGAAGAGGAGAAAGAAUUAAUGAGGUUUAUUUAUGUACAUAGAAAUAAAUACCAUUAUGCCAAAAGUCAUAGUGUAUCAGACUUGCAGAAUUAAAAUUAAAUUGACAAACACAAAAUAUUGUAUUUUCAAAAAAAUGUUAAAUCUUACAGGUCAUUUUUUUCUUAAAGCUAAGUAGUGUGUGGCUAAUCCGAUGAAAGGACUGAAGGAUUAAUCACAUUUUGUGGUGUUAUAUUUGAUUUUGACUCAGUAAAGCUAUGUUUUGGGCAAAUAGCCAAUUGAGAAGCAAUUAUUAGACAUACAUUAGAAGCCUAAAAUAAUGCUGGUAUGAUAAAGUUAAGCUAAUGCCUAUGUUGCAAAGAGCUUUAAAGUGGAGUUUAACAGUCCCUAGAAUUUGUGGGAAUCAAAAAUUUCUAGUAAUGUAGCAUUUAACUAUAUACAAAGUAAAGUGGGA
rnacentral:lncRNA from 1 species